rnacentral:lncRNA from 1 species
CUUGGGCUGCUCGGUGGUUUUCCUUUUACCUCUUUUAUUUCUCUCUCUUUUCCUUAUCCUUUUUAUUUUCAUUUAUUUAAUUUUGAACUCGAGAGCACUCACAAAUUAAAUGAAUGUUCAUCAAACAUAUGCAUCAAGCUAAAGAAAUAAAAUAUGAGCUCCGGCAUGAUGCAACAUUUCAUAACUCCUCACUACCGGAAUUUGGCUCUUUGCCGAGUGCCAAAUUCUUUGCCGAGUGUUUUAUUUCGGGCACUCGGCAAAGAGCUCUUUGCCGAGUGCCACACAAAAAACACUCGGUAAAAGAAAACACUCGGCGAAGAAGCUCUUUGCCGAGUGUUUUAUUUUUGACACUCGGCAAAGAGUUUCUUUGCCGAGUGUCUUUUUUUGACACUCGGCAAAGAACUCUUUGCCGAGUGUCACAAAUACAACACUCGGCAAAGAGCUCUUUGCCGAGUGUUUUUUCUCCAACACUAGGCAAAGACAAUUUAAAAAUCACAUUUUAAAGUAGUAAAUUAAUUCAAAUGAAAAAGUUUUCAACUACAAAUUUGUAUAACUCAUCAUGAUGUACAAUUUAUAUAUUGAACAUUUCUUCAUAUGACAAAAUAAAAAUAAAUUUGUUCAUAAAACCUAUAUCUCUCGUAGUUUAUGAAACUACGAGAGAGACGUAUAGAAUUUGUGCAUAUUGUUAGAACCAUCAUCUGAGAUAAACAAAUUACCAAACAACCAAAAUAAACUUUGUAGAUCUUGAGAAGUUAUAGAAGUUUAUAGUUGACAACUUUUUCAUUUAAAGUCAUAUUGUCAACGAAAACUACGUCUGAAUUUAAAAAAUUUAAAAUUUGAAUUUUGAAAACGACUUCGAAAGGAAAAACCACCAACAUGAAAGUUGUAGGUAUUGAAGAGUUAUGAAACUUUGUAGUUGACAAUGUUUUAGUUUGAAAUCAUCUUGGUAUGCAAAACUAUGUUUGAAUUUUAAAAUUUGAAUUUUUCAAACUGUCUCGGAUGGAAAAAACACCAAAAUAAAAGUUGUAGGUCUUGAAAUGUAAUGAAACUUUGUAGUUGACAAUUUUUUGAUUUGAAAUCAUCUUAUCAUUGAAAAUUUCGUGUGAAGUUUUUAAAUUUAAAAUUCAAAUUUUAUAAACGGUCUCGGAUGUAGAAACUAUUAAAAUAAAACUUUUAGAUCUCAAAAAGUUAUGCAACUUUAUAGUUGGUCACAUUUUCAAAUGAACUCAUUUAGCGUCUUAAAUAAUCAAAUUACUCUCGAUUUGUUAUAGUACAUGGGGAAUGGAAACGUAAUAUAAACAUAAUUGGUGUAGUAGUGUAGUGGUAUAAGAGGGUAUGCGCGAGAGAGAGGUUGCGAGUUCGAAUCUCACCAUUUACAAAACAUAUAAGUUUGAUUCAAAAUAAUAGUGAAAAAUGAUAGAGCAACGGGUAAGGUAAUAGGGUAGGGUUGGAGAGUUGUUCCUAUAAUUUAAAAAAUGUUUUGCUGUUUUUUUUAAUUUUUUCGAUUCUUAAUUUGUCGAGUGUUUUUCUUUGCCGAGUGCUUUUUGGCACUCGGCAAAGUCUUUGCCGAGUGUCCGAAAAAAAGCACUCGGCAAAGAACCCUUUGCCGAUAAAAUCUUUGCCGAGUGUUCUUUGCCGAGUGUUACACUCGGCAAAGCCUUUGCCGAGUGUAAAAUAGCCUUUGCCGAGUGUCUUAGACACUCGGCAAAGAACGCGAUUCCGGUAGUGCCUAUAGGAUUUUAUUAUUACAUGGAACCAAAAUAAUAUUCUCCACUCCUUUGAGAAAAAAAGAGAGAAGAGGGUAAGGAGAAAAGAAGGUAACACCUGAAUUUUCAUGGGCGUUAAGAAAUUUUUAUACCCAAAAUUCAGGGUGUUACAAUUACAAACUUGUCCUAAGAUACUGUACAUAGAGACUAUAUGAUCCUAUAGGGGCACCAUCGUCUCUUCCCCUUAUUCUUCAUUGACAUGUUCAUAAGCGCCUUAACCGUGGAGCCAAAACUCUUAGCCUUGCUUUGUGUACGCGCCGUUCAAACAAAGGUUCUGAAUGAAGUUGUAUUUUGUUAUCUCUUUGAAGCACAUGAAACAGACUUCGAAACAGUUGGUAACUCUAUAAUUUGAGGAGCUUCGGUAGGAGAAGACCCAACAUUUUUCACAGUUAUUCUAAACUACAUAAUGGUUGGAGCUUAUCUCAUACCAUAUACAUGGUGCAUCUUUUCAUUCAUCUGCCUAAGUUGUAAGUGAAAGAAUGACCUCAUCCAUAAGACAUAGAUCACCCAGUGCUUGUUUCAGAUUAUGUAUUAGGGGUUUUCAAGAUUUUUCAAAAGAAGGUAGUUCCGUAGAGGUACACUCGAUUGCUCAAUGUGUAUCCUCACAUUGUAGCCUUUCUUUGCUUGGACCAUAUCCCUAUAAUAAAGUUUAUGUGGAGCUUGGAUAAGUUGAAAUGGUGGCUACUUAGGCUGCUUGUAUCGCUAAUACAAAGAUUGGUCUAAAGAGUAUACUAUAUCAUAAACCUAUUUCAAACCUUGGAGUAAGUGUGUGGUAUUAUUUUAUCUCCAUUGAUGAAUCCUCUUUCCAAGAUCUAAGAUCACGUGGAGCACCAUUCUUUCUUUUAGCCAUGCUUUUGCGUGCUUUUUCUUUAUAUGCCCUUUUGCCUUUUUUCUAUGCCCAUUUGACAUUUUUUCUUUUUUUUGGACUCCACAUAUCAUCUUUCUAUGACUCUUAGAAUAUUAGGGCUUUCUUUGAUAUAAAUUUUUAGGUGGAUGCAAGGCUCAGAACAUAUCUCUUGCAUUUUUUCACUUGAUAAAUGUCACACCCGGAUUUAGGGGCACCAAACCCGAGCGCGAAUAAUCAAAUGCGUGCUAGGAUCAAGUCUCACACACAUGAUGACUCAUGGUACAUAAAAUGAUGUCACAUCUUUACUAUAUAAUAGGAUUUCUAUAUAAAAUAGUUAAAUAAUUACAUCGUACGAAGACAACGAUCCAUCAACCAAAGUUGACUAGGAGACGACAGCCUAGACCACUCACGAACUCAUCACAACAUCCUUCACGCGCCUCAUUCUAUGGUACCUGUCCUUGACCUAGGGGGUGUGAGUACAGCAAGGGUGAGCUCACAUACGUUCAUCGCUCAACAAGUUGUGGGGAAUAAUGUGCAUGAACUCACCAAAGGUGGGAGCUCAUGUGAGCUCAUGUGAAGUGUAAGGCUUACCAAAGGAGAUGGUUAAAGUUGAGCAUUGCUUUUAAAGUUGGUCAAAAUUUUAUUAGCAUUUACUAAGUAUAAGUAGAUACCAACCCAAAUAAGUAAGAGAUCAAAAUUAAUAACAACACCCGCGAUGCAAUGCAUAUGACAGAUUAGGUUUAAUUCCAUAGAUUAAUCAUGUGAGUGUCCGAGCUGCUCAUGACCGUGAGCACAGCUGAUAUACCAGUUUUACACUCUGCAGAGGUUGCACAUCUUUACCCACAAGUCGUGUAUCCCACCUAGCCAGGGUUUGCAAGGCCCUUAGACACUUCUGAGGUGAAUGGCUAGGGAUCCACUACGAGGCCUUUACAAAGUUCCACUAGCUUCAGAAAACCCGCUACGGUUUCUGAGAAGGGCAAUACAGAAAAUCCCUCGUCCGAAAAGCCAUCGCAGCAUGAUCGACCCAAGAACCUCCCUAUACGCAGCUCCUCUACCGACCUUGCCCCUUUCGGGUAAGGUA